UUUCCAUAUCUAUUUAUUCUCACCGUUAUCACGGUUAGCCCAUAUAUGUAUGUAUGUUAUACUCUGAAUUAUGGAGUUUUACGGAAGACGUACAUAUAAAGUGGUUUUUUGCAGUGCAAUUUCGUUUUUUCCAUAGAUAAUACAAUUAAUGAGUUUUUUCGUAACUGGUUUUAAUAGUGUCGAUAGUAAACUCUAAUAUUUGCAUCCAGCGUGCUAGUGUUACAAGUAAAUAAAAAAGUACACAUUUUUAUGGAGCCCCCGUAAGCGCAUAAACCUUUUUAUUGAACAUUAAAAUGUUUAUUAAGAUCGGUCUAAGUUAAAAAUAUAGUUGAAAUAUAUUCGUAUGGUUAUAUUCAUAUUUAGCUGAGACAAUAUAAAUAAUAUCAUUUAAAUCCUUAUCGCUAAGUAUAUUUUGAAAAUAUUAACAUCGACACUUUUCCUUUUUUAGAGUUAUUCUUGCUGUUCGAUCUUAUUGGUGUUCUAUUGGAUCUUAUUGGUGUUGCUUAUUGGUGUUCGAUCUGAGAUCAUUAAUGAAAAAUAUCAAAAAUUACUUCUCUAGCUGUUGGCAUCAGCGGGAUCGGCAACGAGCCUCUCCCCGUUCACAAGCAGGAGCCUAUCUCUUCGGAACCUUCGCAACCAGCGGCGCAGCGGUCGGGCGUACACUCCCAGCCGCACUGGAGCCCACGUCGGGUCCACUGCGCUGCAACCUGACCUGUUACUCAGAGCUAGCUGCUCGAAUGGCGCCAGCGAGGGUCGCUUACUGGAGAACGAAACGAACCAAGAGAAGUCCACUUCUGGACAUAAGCCUCCUCCAAGACUCGUCACAACGACCGGUCCUCUGUUGUCUGCACAGGUAUCCGCAACCUUCAACAUGUCGUUGGUCUCCCUUAUAGGCCUUCCUACCCUAGUCAUGUGCCUACUACCAUAUUAUAGCUAUAUUCGAUUGUAAACUAGUAAAAUAAUCGAAUUUUCAAAUUCCAUUUUGAAAACAGUAACGCAACCUCACCUGUACCACUCGAAUCCUUUGUGAUAAUAUUUAUCGAAGAAAUGGAUUUCGGAGACCGCAGCUCGGACGUCCGGAUGCAACCUGAUAUUAAAUAGACAUUGUAAUUUUUUACUGGUGGUAGGACCUCUUGUGAGUCCGCACGGGUAGGUACCACCACGCGGCCUAUUUGUGCCGUGAAGCAGUAAUGCGUUUCGGUUUGAAGGAUGGGGCAGCCGUUGUAACUAUACUGAGACUUUAGAACUUAUAUCUCAUGAAACCUCUAUGAAAUACUAGCUGUACUCGUCCGCUUCGCUGGGCAUUUAAAAUUAACAUUAUUAUUUCUCACCCCCACAAAAAUUAUCAUCAUUAAUGCCCCCGCAACUGGUGUGGGGAGACCAACACUCAUAUAAAUAUUAGCCUGUCCAUUAAGUACACGUAUUUUCUACAUGGAUACCAAUUUUCAAGUGAAUCGGAUGCAUGGUUCAGUAGUUAUAACGGAACAUCCGUAAAAACAACUGUAGAUUUAUAUAUUAGUAUAGAUGUAUCUUUAUGUCUAAAGGCUACCUUAAGAAUUCCAAGAGCGCUCGCGUACCACACUUCUUGACUCCAAUAAUGAGAGCGUCUGGGAGCCUCCUUACGGGCCCAGCGUUACGGCUCAAUCUCGUAUACUUGUAGUCUUCAACGUCAAAUCCUAGGAACGAAGCGAAACGGAACGCUCCGCUCUUGUACUUUGAUAUGUGGCUUUUCAAAAUCGUUUUCAGCGUGGGCUGAAAUUGUAAAUGAUUAAAACUAUGAAUUUAUUGAAGCGAAAAACAGUAGUUCAGUGGUAAUUUAAUAUGGAAAUCGUUUUUUAAAAUUGAUCUAAUUCAAGAAAAUAAGCUAAAUGGAUUCCGGUGAUAGAUUCUGCGAAGUACGGCUCUUGCUAGGGUUUGUGUUAGCAACAACGUCAGGCUUCUCGCCCGGUGACGUUGAUGUAGUCUAGACCACCAACUUAGGUAGGAAAAAAAAACACUAAAUGAAUAGAUACAGUUACGCCUUAUAAUAAUGAUUAGGAGGCUACAGUGUAAGGUAUCUGUUUUUCUAGGCCCUAAUACAUUAUGAUAUCAUCCCAAAACAGUGACAGACUUAGGCUUGAUGCCGCCGUAGGCCCUGUUAAUCGCGCCGCCCUUAAUGUUAUAAUAAAUUUUAAUAAUUUAGAUUCAAUAUUUUUAUUAUAUUUAUAAAAUAAAUUUAUUCCCUUAGAAUAACA